rnacentral:rRNA from 1 species
AGCGUAGGCGGCGUGGUAAGUCAGAUGUGAAAUCCCGGGGCUCAACCCCGGAACUGCAUCCGAUACUGCCGUGCUAGAGGAUUGGAGAGGUAGCUGGAAUUCACGGUGUAGCAGUGAAAUGCGUAGAUAUCGUGAGGAACACUCGUGGCGAAAGCGAGCUAUUGGACAACUCCUGACGCUGAGGCUCGAAGGCCAGGGUAGCGAAAG